UACGUAGGGGGCAAGCGUUGUCCGGAUUCAUUGGGCGUAAAGAGCGUGUAGGCGGCCAGAUAGGUCGGUUGUGAAAACUGGAGGCUUAACCUCGGAACUGCGUCUGAAACUACUCGACUAGAGUACUGGAGGGGGAAACGGAAUUCACGGUGUAGCAGUGAAAUGCGUAGAUAUCGUGAGGAACACCAGAGGCGAAGGCGGUUUCCUGGACAGUUACUGAUGCUCAGGCACGAAAGCAUGGGGAGCAAAAGGG
rnacentral:rRNA from 1 species